rnacentral:rRNA from 1 species
AUUGAACGCUGGCGGCAGGCCUAACACAUGCAAGUCGAACGGUAACAGGAAACAGCUUGCUGUUUCGCUGACGAGUGGCGGACGGGUGAGUAAUGUCUGGGAAACUGCCUGAUGGAGGGGGAUAACUACUGGAAACGGUAGCUAAUACCGCAUAACGUCGCAAGACCAAAGAGGGGGACCUUCGGGCCUCUUGCCAUCGGAUGUGCCCAGAUGGGAUUAGCUAGUAGGUGGGGUAACGGCUCACCUAGGCGACGAUCCCUAGCUGGUGUGAGAGGAUGACCAGCCGCACUGGAACUGGGCCACGGUCCAUACUCCUGCGGGAGGCAGCAGUGGGGAAUAUUGCACAAAGGGCGCAAGCCUGAUGCAGCCAUGCCGCGUGUAUGAAGAAGGCGUUCGGGUUGUAAAGUACUUUCAGCGGUGAGGAAGGGAGUAAAGUUAAUACCUUUACUCAUUGACGUUACCCGCAGAAGAAGCACCGGCUAACUCCGUG